UACGGAGGGGGCUAGCGUUGUUCGGAAUUACUGGGCGUAAAGGGCGCGUAGGCGGCGGGCUAAGUCAGGCGUGAAAGCCCCGGGCUCAACCUGGGAACUGCGCUUGAUGCUGACUUGCUUGAGACCGGGAGGGGAGGGUGGAAUUCCCAGUGUAGAGGUGAAAUUCGUAGAUGUUAGGAAGAACACCGGUGGCGAAGGCGGCUCACUGGUCCGGUACUGACGCUGAGGUGCGAAAGCUUGGGGAGCAAACAGG
rnacentral:rRNA from 1 species